rnacentral:rRNA from 1 species
UACGGGGGGGGCAAGCGUUGUUCGGAAUUACUGGGCGUAAAGGGCUCGUAGGUGGCUUGUCGCGUCGACUGUGAAAGCCCGAGGCUCAACUUCGGGCUUGCAGUCGAUACGGGCAGGCUAGAGUUCGGUAGGGGAGACUGGAAUUCCUGGUGUAGCGGUGAAAUGCGCAGAUAUCAGGAGGAACACCGAUGGCGAAGGCAGGUCUCUGGGCCGAUACUGACGCUGAGGAGCGAAAGCGUGGGGAGCGAACAGG